rnacentral:rRNA from 1 species
CAGUCGAACGAGGAUUUAACGGAAUGCGAUUCGUCAAAUGAAAUUAAAUCCGAGCCGUGGACGGGUGAGUAACGCGUGGAUAACCUGCCUCACACAGGGGGACAACAGCCGGAAACGGCUGCUAAUACCGCAUAACACAAGUAAUUCGCAUGAAUAACUUGCCAAAGAUUUUAUCGGUGUGAGAUGGAUCCGCGUCUGAUUAGCCAGUUGGCGGGGUAACGGCCCACCAAAGCGACGAUCAGUAGCCGACCUGAGAGGGUGACCGGCCACAUUGGGACUGAGACACGGCCCAAACUCCUACGGGAGGCAGCAGUGGGGAAUAUUGCACAAUGGGCGAAAGCCUGAUGCAGCGACGCCGCGUGAAGGAUGAAGUAUUUCGGUAUGUAAACUUCUAUCAGCAGGGAAGAAAAUGACGGUACCUGACUAAGAAGCCCCGGCUAACUACGUGCCAGCAGCCGCGGUAAUACGUAGGGGGCAAGCGUUAUCCGGAUUUACUGGGUGUAAAGGGAGCGUAGAUGGCAUGGCAAGUCUGAAGUGAAAGCCCGGGGCUUAACCCCGGGACUGCUUUGGAAACUGUUAAGCUAGAGUGUCGGAGAGGUAAGUGGAAUUCCUAGUGUAGCGGUGAAAUGCGUAGAUAUUAGGAGGAACACCAGUGGCGAAGGCGGCUUACUGGACGAUGACUGACGUUGAGGCUCGAAAGCGUGGGGAGCAAACAGGAUUAGAUACCCUGGUAGUCCACGCCGUAAACGAUGACUGCUAGGUGUCGGGUAGCAAAGCUAUUCGGUGCCGCAGCUAACGCAAUAAGCAGUCCACCUGGGGAGUACGUUCGCAAG